AGAGCGAACGCUGGCGGCGUGCUUAACACAUGCAAGUCGAACGCGCAGCAUUCUGUAGCAAUACAGGGUGUGGGCGCGUGGCGAACGGGUGCGUAACACGUGGAUAACCUUCCUUGAGGUGGGGAAUAACCCAGUGAAAAUUGGGCUAAUACCGCAUAACAUCGCGAUGGCACAUGCUGAUGCGAUCAAAGGCGCAAGUCGCCACAAGAGGGAUCCGCGGCCGAUUAGCUUGUUGGCGAGGUAAUGGCUCACCAAGGCAAUGAUCGGGUA
rnacentral:rRNA from 1 species